rnacentral:misc_RNA from 1 species
UCUCCGUUGGUGAACCAGCGGAGGGAUCAUUACAGGACUCGCAAGACUCCUUCACCCUGUGAACCUCACUACAAGCACGUUGCUUCGGCGGGUGUCCCGGCGGGGGUUUUCCCUCGCCGGGGCGCACAGCCCGCCGGCAGCCUACUAUACUCUGUCUCUUUGCGUUGGCAUCUCGAGAAAAACAAACAAGUUAAAACUUUCAACAACGGAUCUCUUGGUUCUG